rnacentral:rRNA from 1 species
AUUGAACGCUGGCGGCAGGCCUAACACAUGCAAGUCGAGCGGAAACGAGUUAUCUAAACCUUCGGGGAACGAUAACGGCGUCGAGCGGCGGACGGGUGAGUAAUGCCUAGGAAAUUGCCCUGAUGUGGGGGAUAACCAUUGGAAACGAUGGCUAAUACCGCAUGAUGCCUACGGGCCAAAGAGGGGGACCUUCGGGCCUCUCGCGUCAGGAUAUGCCUAGGUGGGAUUAGCUAGUUGGUGAGGUAAGGGCUCACCAAGGCAACGAUCCCUAGCUGGUCUGAGAGGAUGAUCAGCCACACUGGAACUGAGACACGGUCCAGACUCCUACGGGAGGCAGCAGUGGGGAAUAUUGCACAAUGGGCGCAAGCCUGAUGCAGCCAUGCCGCGUGUGUGAAGAAGGCCUUCGGGUUGUAAAGCACGUUCAGUCGUGAGGAAGGUAGUGUGUUUAAUAGAUGCAUUAUUUGACGUUAGCGACAGAAGAAGCACCGGCUAACUCCGUGCCAGCAGCCGCGGUAAUACGGAGGGUGCGAGCGUUAAUCGGAAUUACUGGGCGUAAAGCGCAUGCAGGUGGUUUGUUAAGUCAGAUGUGAAGGCCCGGGGCUCAACCUCGGAAUAGCAUUUGAAACUGGCAGACUAGAGUACUGUAGAGGGGGGUAGAAUUUCAGGUGUAGCGGUGAAAUGCGUAGAGAUCUGAAGGAAUACCGGUGGCGAAGGCGGCCCCCUGGACAGAUACUGACACUCAGAUGCGAAAGCGUGGGGAGCAAACAGG